GAAAUGCGAUAAGUAAUGUGAAUUGCAGAAUUCAGUGAAUCAUCGAAUCUUUGAACGCACAUUGCGCCCCCUGGUAUUCCGGGGGGCAUGCCUGUUCGAGCGUCAUUUCACCACUCAAGCCUCGCUUGGUAUUGGGCGACGCGGUCCGCCGCGCGCCUCAAAUCGACCGGCUGGGUCUUCCGUCCCCUCAGCGUUGUGGAAACUAUUCGCUAAAGGGUGCCGCGGGAGGUCACGCCGCAAAACAACCCCAUUUCUGAGGUUGACCUCGGAUCAGGUAGGGAUACCCGCUGAACUUAAGC
rnacentral:misc_RNA from 1 species